rnacentral:rRNA from 1 species
UACGUAGGGGGCAAGCGUUGUCCGGAAUCAUUGGGCGUAAAGAGCGUGUAGGCGGCCCGGUAAGUCCGCUGUGAAAGUCCAGGGCUCAACCCUGGGAUGCCGGUGGAUACUGUCGGGCUAGAGUACGGAAGAGGCGAGUGGAAUUCCUGGUGUAGCGGUGAAAUGCGCAGAUAUCAGGAGGAACACCAAUUGCGAAGGCAGCUCGCUGGGACGUUACUGACGCUGAGACGCGAAAGCCAGGGUAGCGAACCGG